CACAAGCGGUGGAUGAUGUGGUUAAUUCGAUGCAACGCGAAAACCUUACCACCUUUGACAUGGCAGGAAGUUACAGAGAUGGUUUCGUGCUCGAAAGAGAACCUGCACACAGGUGCUGCAUGGCUGUCGUCAGCUCGUGUCGUGAGAUGUUGGGUUAAGUCCCGCAACGAGCGCAACCCUUGCCAUCAGUUGCUACGAAAGGGCACUCUGAUGGGACUGCCGGUGACAAACCGGAGGAAGGUGGGGAUGACGUCAAGUCCUCAUGGCCCUUAUAGGUGGGGCUACACACGUCAUACAAUGGCCGGUACAAAGGGCAGCCAACCCGCGAGGGGGAGCCAAUCCCAUAAAGCCGGUCGUAGUCCGGAUCGCAGUCUGCAACUCGACUGCGUGAAGUCGGAAUCGCUAGUAAUCGUGGAUCAGCAUGUCACGGUGAAUACGUUCCCGGGUCUU
rnacentral:rRNA from 1 species